AACGAACGCUGGCGGCAGGCCUAACACAUGCAAGUCGAGCGCCCCGCAAGGGGAGCGGCGGACGGGUGAGUAACGCGUGGGAAUAUGCCCUUUGCUACGGAAUAGUCUCGGGAAACUGGGGGUAAUACCGUAUACGCCCUUUGGGGGAAAGAUUUAUCGGCGAAGGAUUAGCCCGCGUUGGAUUAGGUAGUUGGUGGGGUAAUGGCCUACCAAGCCGACGAACCAUAGCUGGUUUGAGAGGAUGAUCAGCCACACUGGGACUGAGACACGGCCCAGACUCCUACGGGAGGCAGCAGUGGGGAAUCUUAGACAAUGGGGGCAACCCUGAUCUAGCCAUGCCGCGUGAGUGAUGAAGGCCUUAGGGUUGUAAAGCUCUUUCAGCUGGGAAGAUAAUGACGGUACCAGCAGAAGAAGCCCCGGCUAACUCCGUG
rnacentral:rRNA from 1 species